rnacentral:rRNA from 1 species
ACCAGAUAAGACAGCUGAAUGAUAGUCGGGCUGAAGACUCUACUUGACUAGCUGAGAGGAGGUGCAUGGCCGUCGUCAGUUCGUACUGUGAAGCAUCCUGUUAAGUCAGGCAACGAGCGAGACCCACGCCAACAGUUGCCAGCUCGUCCCCCGGGAUGGUGGGGACACUGUUGGGACCGCCUCUGCUAAAGAGGAGGAAGGAAUGGGCAACGGUAGGUCAGCAUGCCCCGAAUUAUCUGGGCUACACGCGGGCUACAAUGGGUGGGACAAUGGGUAUCGACACCGAAAGGUGAAGGCAAUCUCCUAAACCCAUCCGUAGUUCGGAUUGUGGGCUGCAACUCGCCCACAUGAAGCUGGAAUCUGUAGUAAUCGUGUCUCAAAAUGGCACGGUGAAUAUGUCCCCUGCUCCUU